UGAGGAAUAUUGGUCAAUGGACGCAAGUCUGAACCAGCCAAGUAGCGUGCAGGAUGACGGCCCUAUGGGUUGUAAACUGCUUUUAUAUGGGGAUAAAGUGGGGAACGUGUUCCCUUUUGCAGGUACCAUAUGAAUAAGGACCGGCUAAUUCCGUGCCAGCAGCCGCGGUAAUACGGAAGGUUCGGGCGUUAUCCGGAUUUAUUGGGUUUAAAGGGAGCGUAGGCCGUUUGGUAAGCGUGUUGUGAAAUGUAGGAGCUCAACUUCUAGAUUGCAGCGCGAACUGUCAGACUUGAGUGCGCACAACGUAGGCGGAAUUCGUCGUGUAGCGGUGAAAUGCUUAGAUAUGACGAAGAACUCCGAUUGCGAAGGCAGCUUGCGGGAGCAAAACUGACGCUGAAGCUCGAAAGUGCGGGUAUCGAACAGG
rnacentral:rRNA from 1 species